GGGCAGCGCUGGCCGGUUCUAGGGCCGGAGGUGGAGGAGCAAGAAUGGCAGACGGUGUAUAUCAGAUUGUUAAAUCAGACAUAUUAGUUUUGUGAUUUCUUCUUUGUUUUUUCAUCGCAGGAUGUGGUUCCUUCAAGAUCGCAACCAUUCAGAAGACAACCAGAGAAGGUAGAGAGAUGAUAUGCUUCCACUGUGUUUUCUAAUGGGCGUCUGCUCUGACCCCGAUGGCAGCUGGACAAGGCCCCCAUCACCGAACUGGGAGCUGCCGCUGCUCCUCCUGGUGCACGCCCUUAUCCCCAUUGCUCUCCCCAUGUACAGAUUUUCUCUCUCUCCAUGUAAUGUUGUUGAUUGGUUUAAGCUCCCAGGCAACCGUGAGUGAUGGCCGCGCGGAGGUACCUGCGGAUGUUCCCGUCGAUGGGGCUCGUCGUGCAUAAGCGGUGGCAGGUUUGACAUCCCAUCGCCAUGGCGUGCCCAACUCUGGCCAGCUGGUGGAUCAUUCUGGCAUUGUCAGGAUCGGAAGUAUUUUCCCAUUGUCUAUGCUAUAAAGAAGUUGCUAUGUAACCCAUCAAACCCAGCUUUCAGGCUUGUAGAGAGCCUGUUCCUACGUGGGGACACUGCCUAAGACAUCUCAUGGUGAAGGUAGUAGAGGGCUAACUGGUGUAGCUCUGCUUGGUUGCUGGUACAUCGACGAAGGCAUCCAUGAUGUUAAUUCUUUCCAUGCUAGCCUAUGCUCCCGCGGGGGCAAGACGCCAUUUCAGCUCGUGUGUAUCAAGAUCCAGGAGAUAAAACUGUUCUGCUGCAAUAUAAUGUAUAGUUUAUAUUGUCGGAGAAAGGAGAGGAACUUAUCUUUUAUCAUACAUCUGUUCAAGGAAGGGAAUCAACAGAACUCUACGUAAAUAGAGGCUUAUUUUCAGGUGUAUGCAGGUUGUGGUCGCAUGUUCAAAUUGAUGUUGUUAGCUCAGAAAAGAACAAAAGGGAAAGAAAGAUGUCUGUUAGAUUGAUGUAUUCGAAAAAAGAGAGAGAAUAAGCACUGAGUUUGGGAGUUUAGCGAGGAUGGAGACGAAAGAGAGGAUCACUGAUGACGGUAUAGGGGAAACAGCUGACAGGGUGCAAAAGGUCUGAUGAUUGCAGUUUUUUAUUCUCACCUAUGCGCCAUCAAGGGUGCAAAAGGCUCAGACGGCGGUUUUGGCACUGGUGGACUCCUCCACGAAUCGGGCCACAUGUGAGAUGGAGGAGCGUGGUCUGCGUGACUCCAUGAGAUCCAUGGACAUCGUCCCUUCGUCCGGCGUGGGGAUGCACAAUGGCUCGGUGACAGAAAGCAUGUGUUACAGGCCAGCGGGCAGAGGAGGGAACCCUCGGCUACGGUCACAGUCGGUGUGGGAGAUUGGAGCCAGCUCUCACUCAUGUAUUAUAGAUCUGCAUAUAUAUAUGUAUGUGUGUAUUAUCUAUUUUUUUAGUUUUCUGGUCAUUUGAUUUGAUCAGUCUGUUAUUCAACUCGUUAAAACGGUUGCUUCUGAUGAUGAUUUGUUGAUGUUUUUUGCAGCUUAAGAAUCACAAGAAGGUGAUCUGGAGGAGGGAGGUGAUCAUUACUCCGUCUCCUCUCUCUAUCCCUUAAACAUUUUUUUUUGGGUUUAAAACUGCUUCUGUCCAAUGGUGGUGAAACUUAAGUAAUUUGUGAUAAGAAGAAGAAAGAUAUUACUAACCACCUCCUGCUUCUGUCCAAUUCGUGAUUGUGCUAUAGCCAUUGGUGCUUGCUGAAAUUCAGGUCCUCCUGUAAUAUGCCAUUGGUGUUUGCUAGGUGAUUGUUUCCAUUUUUAUCUGGCCUCUCAGUUUGUUUUCUGUCAAUCCAAUAGGAUUAGUGCGCGAUAGAGCAAGCAAUUUAAGUAGGGAAAACCUCCGUAAUAUAUUAAUCAAGCAAUGCAACAGUACGGAAAAUGUUUCAAUGUUGGCUUUCUUUUAUUUUUCCAAUUUAUUUAACAGAAACAUGGUCGUUGUCUUAUUUUGCAAUGCAACUGUUUCAGAUGCUCCAGGUUUUAGAGCAUCACUCGUUAUGCAUAUAUGGAGGUUUACCAUUCAUCAUCUUGUGCAUGCCAAUGGUGGCGUGUUUUCUUGUGCUCAUUUGUUGAAUUGUAAAGAAGAGAAGCGGAAGAUCCGAUGAAAGAGUUUGUUCAUGACCAUGCCAAUCAGGUCUUAACUUCUUGAAUGAUUUGCAUUCAUUGGAUCCAGAGUUAUAUCGGCAUAUUCUUCAAGUUUUGGCGGUCCAUCUUCUCCGAGCAAAGCCAUAGGCCAUGGACCUGCUGCUCUGCUCUAAUUUGGUAGCAGCCUGACAGUGGUGAGAGAGCGGGGGACGGGGCUACAUUACGGGAGAUUUGGACGGUUUGGAGUUAGAAUGCCCAAAUCCUAAAUUUCUAUUUAACCCUUUUGCCUUAUUUAUAUGUACUUUAUAGCUCCCCGAUAUAUGAUCUAUCUACCUUAACACCAUCAGAGAAGAACUAAACAUAUUAUUACAAUAUGGGCUAUUUACUAUCGUGCGACCUUUUAAUUCUAUCAUAUGUGUUUGUGUUGUAUGACAAUGUAUUGCUAUUGGUGAUUUUCUGAUCAUCUUGGUGUGCAACCGAACUAUCAGUUGUCUA